GACGUAGGGCGCGAGCGUUGUCCGGAUUUAUUGGGCGUAAAGAGCUCGUAGGCGGUUUGUCGCGUCGUCUGUGAAAACCCACGGCUCAACUGUGGGCUUGCAGGCGAGACGGGCAGGCUAGAGUUCGGUAGGGGAGACUGGAAUUCCUGGUGUAGCGGUGAAAUGCGCAGAUAUCAGGAGGAACACCGGUGGCGAAGGCGGGUCUCUGGGCCGAUACUGACGCUGAGGAGCGAAAGCGUGGGGAGCGAACAGG
rnacentral:rRNA from 1 species